UUUAUGGAGAGUUUGAUCCUGGCUCAGGAUGAACGCUGGCGGCGUGCCUAAUACAUGCAAGUCGAGCGAACGGACGAGAAGCUUGCUUCUCUGAUGUUAGCGGCGGACGGGUGAGUAACACGUGGAUAACCUACCUAUAAGACUGGGAUAACUUCGGGAAACCGGAGCUAAUACCGGAUAAUAUUUUGAACCGCAUGGUUCAAAAGUGAAAGACGGUCUUGCUGUCACUUAUAGAUGGAUCCGCGCUGCAUUAGCUAGUUGGUAAGGUAACGGCUUACCAAGGCAACGAUGCAUAGCCGACCUGAGAGGGUGAUCGGCCACACUGGAACUGAGACACGGUCCAGACUCCUACGGGAGGCAGCAGUAGGGAAUCUUCCGCAAUGGGCGAAAGCCUGACGGAGCAACGCCGCGUGAGUGAUGAAGGUCUUCGGAUCGUAAAACUCUGUUAUUAGGGAAGAACAUAUGUGUAAGUAACUGUGCACAUCUUGACGGUACCUAAUCAGAAAGCCACGGCUAACUACGUGCCAGCAGCCGCGGUAAUACGUAGGUGGCAAGCGUUAUCCGGAAUUAUUGGGCGUAAAGCGCGCGUAGGCGGUUUUUUAAGUCUGAUGUGAAAGCCCACGGCUCAACCGUGGAGGGUCAUUGGAAACUGGAAAACUUGAGUGCAGAAGAGGAAAGUGGAAUUCCAUGUGUAGCGGUGAAAUGCGCAGAGAUAUGGAGGAACACCAGUGGCGAAGGCGACUUUCUGGUCUGUAACUGACGCUGAUGUGCGAAAGCGUGGGGAUCAAACAGGAUUAGAUACCCUGGUAGUCCACGCCGUAAACGAUGAGUGCUAAGUGUUAGGGGUUUCCGCCCCUUAGUGCUGCAGCUAACGCAUUAAGCACUCCGCCUGGGGAGUACGACCGCAAGGUUGAAACUCAAAGGAAUUGACGGGGACCCGCACAAGCGGUGGAGCAUGUGGUUUAAUUCGAAGCAACGCGAAGAACCUUACCAAAUCUUGACAUCCUUUGACAACUCUAGAGAUAGAGCUUUCCCCUUCGGGGACAAAGUGACAGGUGGUGCAUGGUUGUCGUCAGCUCGUGUCGUGAGAUGUUGGGUUAAGUCCCGCAACGAGCGCAACCCUUAAGCUUAGUUGCCAUCAUUAAGUUGGGCACUCUAAGUUGACUGCCGGUGACAAACCGGAGGAAGGUGGGGAUGACGUCAAAUCAUCAUGCCCCUUAUGAUUUGGGCUACACACGUGCUACAAUGGACAAUACAAAGGGCAGCGAAACCGUGAGGUCAAGCAAAUCCCAUAAAGUUGUUCUCAGUUCGGAUUGUAGUCCUGCAACUCGACUACAUGAAGCUGGAAUCGCUAGUAAUCGUAGAUCAGCAUGCUACGGUGAAUACGUUCCCGGGUCUUGUACACACCGCCCGUCACACCACGAGAGUUUGUAACACCCGAAGCCGGUGGAGUAACCUUUUAGGAGCUAGCCGUCGAAGGUGGGACAAAUGAUUGGGGUGAAGUCGUAACAAGGUAGCCGUAUCGGAAGGUGCGGCUGGAUCACCUCCUUUCU
rnacentral:rRNA from 1 species